rnacentral:lncRNA from 1 species
ACAUUCAGUGAUCAACAGAAUACAGAAAUCUGUGUGAUUCAGUCCUUUCGUCUUGGCACAUCAUUGUAGAAGCAUUAUCACCUUGGGGAUUUCGUCUGUUGUGAUGUUCUGUGAUGCUGCGGUGGUGGAUUUUUCAUUUUUGGGUGAAGACGAGAUACAAAUUUGAAGGGGAGAAUACUACAACUCCAUUGAUUUUUAUAUGACUGUUUGAUGCCGAAGUUAGUUGGAAGUUGGAACCCUAACUCAAGCACAGAAGAUAACCAUUGCUGCUGCCUUACAACCACAGGCAGGAAAAUUAUUCUUUUCUUCAGAAAAUUGGAAAGCUGCUGGAGUAAUCUAGUGUCCAUCCCCACUUGAUUAAUUUCGUGCCAGCUUGUGAAAGGCGUGAGGAAUUCAAAUUUAGCUGCUGCGUGCUGUCUGCAAGCAAGCAAUCCAAUUGGCUGUCGCUAGGUGGCGCGAGUGUCUUCAGGGGACCAAAUUCGGCCAUUUUGUUCCUUGACGCAGCAGAAGUGGGAUGCUGGUCGUGACGUUUCCCAUGAUGAAAAUGUGAUUUCAAUACCACUUUGUCAAAUCAUGUAACUCGGACUUGAGUGUCUGUCCAUUUUGCCGAAAUGUCGUGCCUCGUGUGUCUUGCUGCCUGCACCCAGUCGUACGGGUGCGUCUCGUCCCAUGACAAAGCAAAAGUCCGCUGUUGGUUACCUUGUUGCAGCCAGGUGGUGAAAGAUGUGAUGGAGACUAAUUGAACUGUUGUAUGCAGCGUGUGGUUCCAGUGUUAUCCAGAAGUAGCUGACCUGGCGGUCCUGAACUAGCCUGAAGCAGCCUGAAGUUGCCAGUGAUAUCCGGGUCGCUGACUUUAAAUAUUUUUCUGUUUGCAUUUGUGUAUUUUGCUCUGCCAAUGCUAUCCUGUGUUUGAAAUCUUUUCUCAUUCGUGUUUUUUUGCUCUAUCAGUGAUUUCCUGUGUUGCAGUCUUGAAAUGGUUUCAUUGUCGUCUUUGUCGUUUUUAUUGUGCAGUAUACGAUUGAGGCAACCUGAUCUAUAUGUCAGGUUUGACUCAGUCGACAACUGCUAGAUUAAAUUCCGGCUUUCUGCACCAACAAAAUAAUAACGGCACAUGUUAU